rnacentral:rRNA from 1 species
UACGUAGGGGGCAAGCGUUGUCCGGAAUCAUUGGGCGUAAAGAGCGCGUAGGCGGCCCUGUAAGUCCGCUGUGAAAGUCAAGGGCUCAACCCUUGGAUGCCGGUGGAUACUGCAGGGCUAGAGUCCGGAAGAGGCGAGUGGAACUGCGAGUGUAGAGGUGAAAUUCGUAGAUAUUCGCAAGAACACCAGUGGCGAAGGCGGCUCACUGGCCCGGUACUGACGCUGAGGUGCGAAAGCGUGGGGAGCAAACAGG